rnacentral:lncRNA from 1 species
UUUUCUUGAAAAUUAAAACUAUUUUUACAGAGAUAAUAUUUUGAAGCAAGGUUAACAAAGCAGAUUAUAUUUUUGCUUGUGUUUAAUUACUGUUCUUACCUAAACAUGUCCACAUUAGGAUAGACCAUUUUCAGGAUGACCAACAACCCAAAAUAGUGUUAAUAGUUGGUAUUUGAAAACAGAGAAGCAAGCAUUAACGAUGGACUCAGUAGCAGUUCAUUAAACUUGAAAAAUUCCUAAGAGACAUGCCCAACAAUUUCAAAAUGGAUUAUUUUCAUAACAAUGCAUUUACCAUAUACAUUUGCAUCAAUUUUUUUGUCUUAUUGGAUAAUGAAGUUAUAUUAGAAGAUGAUACUCUAUGUAAUUUUUUGUUUUGUUAUUACUAUACAUGUUAAUGACAUUUUCAUUGAUUAGAUCAAUUUCAGGGCUUUUUUGUAUAUAACAAAAAUGUACAUAUUUUUGUAUUGAUUAUGUAAAUUUGCACAAGAAGUUUAUGACACAAAAAGUAUUUUCUUUUUAGUUCUCUGCAUGCAUUAAUAAAAGUGGGUGAUUUAAAAAUAAGAAAAAAGGACUGUACCCAUGUUAUUUUAUUGGUUUUUAUUGGUUUUUAUUUCUGACCUUUUUUGUUUGUUUUUUGUUUUGGUUGGGGACAUACUUUUUUUUUCAGGGAUUAAACACUAUUAUUAGCAAGUGCCUAAAAAUGAUGUGAACCGUUUACACAUGCCAACUGUAACAGUAGGUCCUAAAUGGGCCCAUUCCCCUAAUAGUUUUGAUUUAAACAAAGCCAUAAAUAGAUGCUUCAAGCUAUAUUGCUAUGCACAUUAUACUUGUACUGUUUUUGUGCAGUUUAUCUACUUUCUUAGUGGAAUAUUUUUUGUAUAAAACCUGUUAUAAUUGUGUUUCUUGAAUUGAGUCUGAGUGGAAUUGAUUGAAAAUGCACAGUAUAUAUUGAUAAUGUACAUGAUGUUUAAAGAACGGUAAGCAUUAAUUUCCUUGUUCAUUGUUAAUGAAGGUUUUCUUCAAUUAAACUUAAGCUUGUGUU